rnacentral:rRNA from 1 species
UUGAACGCUGGCGGCAUGCCUUACACAUGCAAGUCGAACGGUAGAGGGGCAACCCUUGAGAGUGGCGAACGGGUGAGUAAUAUAUCGGAACGUGCCCAGUCGUGGGGGAUAACGCAGCGAAAGCUGCGCUAAUACCGCAUACGAUCUAUGGAUGAAAGCGGGGGAUCGCAAAGACCUCGCGCGAUUGGAGCGGCCGAUAUCAGAUUAGGUAGUUGGUGGGGUAAAAGCCC